AUAGAUGCUUUCCAUGCCAACUACUACGCGCUCUCUCUGUUUUGCAUGCUAGUCAUACUCCACAUUGAUGGAUUUCCAGAAUUGGAAAUGACUGUUUCGAGGCUCGUAGCCUUCUAUAAACAAAAGGCGCUGUACUUUUACCCUGCUUGGGCUUAUGCAAUUCCAGCAUGUAUACUGAAACUUCCCCUUUCACUGCUGAAGUCUGUGGUUUGGACAUCACUUACAUAUCAUGCGAUUAAAUACCGUCCUAGCGUUGGCAGGUUCCUCUGCUGAUUACUACUUUACUCUAUGCACUUUCCUCAAAUUCAUGUUCCAUUUUCUGGCCUCAAUUUUUCAAACUGUGGCUGCUUCCGUCACAGCUGGUACUGUUGCAUUACUAAUCUUGUUGAUGGUUUUGUCGUUCCAAAACCCUCUAUGCCUGCUUGGUUGAAGUGUGGUUUCUGGGUCUCUCCACCAACGUACAGAGAAAUCGGACUUUCUGCCAAUGAAUUUCAUGCCCCACGAUGGCAAAGGGGAGGGCCUUGCAGAGUACCUCCAAAUACAAGAAGCCACUUUAGUUGCAGAAGUACUCAACCCAUUUUAUUCUAGAAAAGUAUAUCGAUAUGCUGGUGCUGUUGGUUAGCUAAACUAACUUGGGUACUAAGUCAUUAGGAUACUUUGAUUGCAUUUAUAACUUGUGGAAAGUAGAAAGUUUCAAUUAAAUUCGAGUAAAUUUUAAGUACUCUUAUACAAGACUAAGUAGUCUCUUGGUACUAAAUCAUGCACAUGCGUUUUGGCUAAUGCUUGCUGUGACCAACUGUUGCCUCGGGAUAUUAUACAGAUUUAAUGUGGUGGAUCAGGGAAAU